rnacentral:rRNA from 1 species
UUCCGGUUGAUCCUGCCGGACCCGACCGCUAUCGGGGUAGGGCUAAGCCAUGCGAGUCGCGCGCCCGGGGGCGCCCGGGAGCGGCGCACGGCUCAGUAACACGUGCCCAACCUACCCUCGGGAGGGGGACACCCCCGGGAAACUGGGGCCAAUCCCCCAUAGGGGAGGGGCGCUGGAAGGCCCCCUCCCCCAAAGGGAUGGCGGCCGAUCCGCCGCCAUCCGCCCGAGGAUGGGGGCACGGCCCAUCAGGUAGUCGGCGGGUUAAAGGCCCGCCAAGCCGAAGACGGGUAGGGGCGGUGAGAGCCGCGAGCCCCGAGAUCGGCACUGAGACAAGGGCCGAGGCCCUACGGGGUGCAGCAGGCGCGAAUACUCCGCAAUGCGGGCAACCGCGACGGGGCUACCCCGAGUGCCGGGCGAAGAGCCCGGCUUUUGCCCGGUCUAAAAAGCCGGGAGAAUAAGCGGGGGGCAAGUCUGGUGUCAGCCGCCGCGGUAAUACCAGCCCCGCGAGUGGUCGGGGUGCUUACUGGGCCUAAAGCGCCCGUAGCCGGCCCGGUAAGUCGCCCCUGAAAUCCACGGGCUCAACCCGUGGGCUGGGGGCGAUACUGCCGGGCUUGGGGGCGGGAGAGGCCGAGGGUACUCCUGGGGUAGGGGCGAAAUCCGAUAAUCCCGGGAGGACCACCAGUGGCGAAGGCGCUCGGCUGGAACGCGCCCGACGGUGAGGGGCGAAAGCUGGGGGAGCAAAGGGGAUUAGAUACCCCUGUAGUCCCAGCUGUAAACGAUGCGGGCUAGCUGUUGGGCGGGCUUAGAGCCCGCCCAGUGGCGCAGGGAAGCCGUUAAGCCCGCCGCCUGGGGAGUACGGCCGCAAGGCUGAAACUUAAAGGAAUUGGCGGG